AUUGAACGCUGGCGGCAGGCUUAACACAUGCAAGUCGAGCGGGGGAUGUUGCUUCGGUAACUGACCUAGCGGCGGACGGGUGAGUAAUGCUUAGGAAUCUGCCUAUUAGUGGGGGACAACAUUCCGAAAGGAAUGCUAAUACCGCAUACGCCCUACGGGGGAAAGCAGGGGAUCUUCGGACCUUGCGCUAAUAGAUGAGCCUAAGUCAGAUUAGCUAGUUGGUGGGGUAAAGGCUCACCUAGGCGACGAUCCGUAACUGGUCUGAGAGGAUGAUCAGUCACACUGGAACUGAGACACGGUCCAGACUCCUACGGGAGGCAGCAGUGGGAAUAUUGGACAAUGGGCGAAAGCCUGAUCCAGCCAUGCCGCGUGUGUGAAGAAGGUCUUCGGAUUGUAAAGCACUUUAAGUUGGGAGGAAGGGUUGUAAGCUAAUAUCUUGCAGCUUUGACGUUACCAACAGAAUAAGCACCGGCUAACUCUGUGCCAGCCGCCGCCGUAAAAC
rnacentral:rRNA from 1 species